rnacentral:lncRNA from 1 species
AUAAGCCGUGUCAUCAUGGUAUAUGAGCUUAGAGCGAAGAUCACUAGGACCCAUAAGAGUAUUAUGUCACAGGAUGCUUCAAAUGAACCUCCCUAUAGGUUUAUAUAGAGCCUAUGAAGCUUCUAGAGACUCUUGGAGCAAUUUACACUAAGCCAUUGGUAGGAAGAGUGUGGAAGGUUCUAGAGAUGCCUAGAGAUGUCCACACAUCUCUACACUAUAGUGAAAGGCAUGAGAGGAGUCCAAGACUUUCUAGAUAAUUUUAGAAAUCUCUUGUAUAUUCUUGUACAUAGGUUUGUACAUAGAAUUGUGUAGGGUAUUCUAGAAUCUUCUUGAUUUGUAAGGAACCCUCCAAGGUUCCAGAGAGUUCCAUUGGUGCCUAUAAAUAGGUGAGGUCCUCAUUUGGCCAACGCACCACCCAAAAACCUAACCAACCAAGCAAGUGAGUCCCCAAAAGCACUUGUAAAGCUUCAUUUGAGCAAUAAAAGUUUCAAUUCUUUAAGCGUCGCUUACUACGUCUCCUAAAGCUUUCGAGUUGUGAACAUCUUAGCUUAGCAAGCUAAGCAUUGGGAGUAAGGCUGACUUAGCAAGAUCAAGUGUCUUGACUUGUCUAAGUGUCUCCGAGCUUAGGAAAAGACUAAGUCCGUGACAAUUAGCUUCCUCAAAAUUGGAUUUUGAGGUUUUCAACAUUUCACUAAAGAAAAUCAGCUACACUUCAAUACCCUAUGUAAAUAACAACGAGACAAAACUUAGGUCUGUGACUUAUUGUCCAUUGCAAGUAGACUCCCCAUGAAUCGGUAUCCGUAAUCUAACACCACAGUAUUAUCACUUAUCAAGAUUCCUCUCAAAUCCAUAAGUUACAAAUCUUGCUUAUCAUGUGAUCAACUGACAUACCCUACCUCUGAUAAACAUAUGUUAAAUUGCACUAAAGGAAUUGUUGUGACUAUAUGUUUCAUGAUCACGUGUCAUUUGGAUCACCUAAUGAGACACAUUGUCUCAAUCCAUGAGAAUACCUGUUGUCACUAAUCUCUAUCAAUAGUGACCCAAUUCAUAGAGAUAUAUGACCACUUUAGGAUCUCACUCAUAAGUCAAAGCUUCCUAUUAAUUUUGGAAUAAACUCAAUAACCUUAUACCAUGAUUCAUCGUAGGUCAUGUCCAGUGUGCAUUACAUGCACUAGUGUACACACCAUGAGAAACUCAACUUGAUGGCUAAGAUAAGUCAUCCCUCUAAUUAAGAGGUGGUGCACUAUAGUCUUUAUUAGAUUGCCCAAAUCCAUGAACCGACUAUAGAUAACUUAUCUAUUUACAAGAAACCCAUGACUUGUAUCUUCUGUACAACUCCUAAUGUACCUAAAUCGUGUACAAUGUAAAAAAUAUUGGACAAAUACUCAAAUCAAUGUCAAUAUAUCAAAGGAAUAGUAAGAUGACAAUUAAGUCAAUCUUUAUUAUAUUAUCUCUUGCUUUUAGGAGAUCAAUCCCAACAUGAACAUGUUUUCAUGUUUUUUUGUUCUAAAAAAUAGAAAACUAGUUUAAAAAAAUAGUUGCUAAAUAAGGCCCAUGGUUUUGCCUCCUUGGGUGAAAACACACAUAACUAAAUGAGAACCUUGAUUAACAUCACUUUCCAACAAGAUUUAUUUAUUUUUUUCUUUUUAAAAUCACAAACGCUCAGAUACUCCACAACCUUAACCUUAACUUUUUUUACUUUUGCCUUCCCAUCUUCUUCGCCUUUCCCAUUUCAUUUUAUCCUUUAACAUUUAUCCAAUCCUUUUUUUCAAUUAAAAAAAAAAAUAUUUUUACCUGUUCAAAUUCAAAAGAAAAAAAAAAGAAAAAUAUUUUUCCCAUUUCCCAUUUCAUUUUAUCCUUUAACAUCCAUCCGGUCUUUUUUUUUUUCCUAUUCAAAUUCAAAAGAAGAAGAAGAAGAAGAAGAAUCUUCUCCUUUCCCAUUUCAUUUUAUCCUUUAACAUUUAUCCAAUCCUUUUUUUCAAUUCAAAAAAAAAAUAUAUUUUUUCCUGUUCAAAUUCAAAAGAAAAAAAAAAGAAAAAUCUUUUUCCCAUUUCCCAUUUCAUUUUAUCCUUUAACAUCCAUCCAAUCUUUUUUUUUUUUUUUUCCAUUCAAAUUCAAAAGAAAAGAAAAGAAAAGAAAAGAAUAUUCUUUCCUAUUCAAAUUCAAAAGAAGAAGAAGAAUCUUCUUCUCCUUUCCCAUUUAUCUUCUUCACUUUUUUUCCAUAUUUUAUCCUUUGACAUCCAUCCAAUUUUCUUUUUCAUUUAAAUUCAAAAGAAGAAUUUUCUUUCUUAUUCUAAUUUUAAAAAUAAAAAAUAAAGAAUAAAAACAAAAGAAGAAGAAGAAGAAUCUUUUUUCCCAUUCAAAUUUUAAAAAUAUAAAACAAAGAACAAAAACAAAAGAAGAAUAAGAGUCUUCUUUCCCAUUCAAAUUCAAGAGAAGAAGAAGUCAUGGUCAUCAACCUUAGUUGUCGUGAAAGUCAUAGCCAUCAGCCUUGGGGCCCAAAUUCCAUCAGCCUUGGGGCCUAUUUGGGAAGUGUUUCCUAGAAUUGUUUUAUGUUUUCAAGAACAUAAAAUAUUACAAAACACGUUUGGUAAGGAAGUCUUUUUUGUUUAUGUUGUUUUUCAUGUUCUUAAAACCCUUAUUUUCAUAAAAUAAUUUAAAGAUGUUUUUUGAAGUUUUUUUUGCUAUUCAAAUAACAAAGAAAAGGGAUCGUUCUUGUUCUAAAUGCCUUAUUCUCUGCAUUGUGAACAUCCAACAUAUUACCAACAAAUCUCAAAGGCUUCAUUUUUAUUACUUUCAAAUUAGAACAAACAACCAAAAUAAAGAUUAUCUAAAAAAACCUCUUCAAGAUUUGGGCAUUACAUCACUAACCCUACAACAAUCGACGAGUGCAGUGCAACAGUUUGAUGACAAUAUUACUGCUACUAUAGUGAGAGACAUUAGAUUCCUCCAUCGACAAUGAGGUUUCAUCGACUUCUCUUAUCGACAAAACAAUAUUUUUCAAAAUUCAACUUUCAAAUGAUUAAUGAGUUUAUCAUAUGAACUAAUAAAAAUAUUAAAAUAAAAUAUAAUUAGAAAUUUUAUAAAGUAAAGAUUUUUUAAAGAAACUUAAAAAUGGUGCAAAUAAUUUUAAAAAUGGAUACAAUUAUUUUAAUUUUAAUGAAAUGUAAAUCUAAAAAUUAUAUAUAUCAAGUUAAUGGAAGAAAAUACAACAUUUAAAAAAACAACUUCCAAACAAAUUUUUUCAUUUUACUUAUUUUAUAAAAUUGAAUUACUUAUUUUAUAAAACUGUUUUUAUUAACUUAUUCAAACAUGUUUUUUAUUUUUUUUAGAAUUCAGUUUUCAAUUUUUUCUUGGAAACAUAAAAAAAUUGUUAAAUUAUUCGAAAAAAACCAUUCUUCAUAAUUAUUUUUGAAAGACAUUUCCCAAACAUGCCGUUAAUUGUCGUGACUGUUGCUGUCCACAAGUUGCAGUUAGAAAUGGUGGACGACCAUGGCCAGGUCCCUCUCACCCUUUAGGCCCUUUUCUUUUCGUUUUUUUUUUUUUCGAAUUUAUAUUGAGAAAAAUAUAUAUAUAUAACAUAAGUGAGAUAAGAGUGAAAAUGAAAUGAGAAAAUAAAAGCAUUGUGAUUAUUUUAAGACUGACAUUGGUCAUAAGAGUUCUUGCAAAUACUUGAUCCUACAUAUUUAAAAAUUUAUUAAAUACCUCUUCAGAAAAGAUGAGUAAAAAUAAUAUAAGAAAAUUUUGAUGAAAGUUUAAAUCAAUAAAUACGCUUAUUUAGUUCAAAACUUUGGAAGGUGAAUAAAAUUAAACCUUUAAAAAAAUAAACAAAAUUAGAUGUUAUUCCCUUCAAAUAUUUCUUUUCAAAAAAUACCGGUGACAAAAUAUUAUUAAAUUUGUACCAGCUUUAGUAUGUUAAAGAGGCAAAUCGAGGAGUAUUGAUAUUUUAUUGUUAAGGCCAACUCAAAUUAGGGUGCACUGAAUCAAACCCAGCUAACUUGCAGCCCUGCUGCAUAGCCAGAUGUCAGUGGCUACUGGAACACUUGACAUGAACCAGAGAGAAAGUGAGUAGACCAAAAAAGUUGCAAAUGCAAACUUUGGAGGACCUCACUUGGGCUCCAUUCUCAAAGCCAUAGGGUGGUGGCAGUGCAACUGGACUAUCAUAUGGCAAGGAGGCAAAAUUUGUGAUCGAGUAUCCCUGAUACGUGGCUGCCUGACCAACCACCCAAAUUCAUGGCAUUUCCAAACAAAUCUACUUGUUAUAUAACAUGUAACAUGAGAUAGGAUGACCCAUGUUUAGUUAUUCUUGACAUUUUCAAACAAAUCCGAUGUUUGGUUGACCGAAUAUAAUAUGAGAUGAAAAAAUGAAUAUCUCAUUACUUAUCUUAUAUUCAACCAAACAUGAAAUCAGAUAAAUGAUGAAAUAUGUUAUCCAUAUUUUUUUUAUCCCUUCUUAAUAAGAUAUAAGAUAUGCUAAUCCCAUACUAAGAUAACUACCAAAAAUAAAAUGGAGCUAAUUGCAUUUCACGAUCCAAAUUGUUGAUAAUUCAAUCAAUCUUUCUUGGGUGAACAGGCACUAUAAGCCGCAAUGGAUCUAAUUGCACCUCUUCAAGAUUUCAAAAAGGCAUUUUUGCCGCAAUGGAUCUAAUUGCACCUCUUCAAGAUUUCGAAAAGGCACUUUUGGAACACCAAUAGACAUAAAAUAACAUAAAAAAGAAUUUAGUACUAUAUUUUUCUUUGGUAUGAGAUAUGCAUCUCUCUCAUGUAUCAUAAAAUUAUUUUUUUAUUAAUUUUUUAUUUUUUUAUAUGCUCAUUUUGCAAAAUAAAGUUUUUUUUUUAUUAUAAAUUACAUUUAUGGUUAAAAAAAGAAAAACUAAAAAAAAUAUUUAUAAAGUAAUACUAAUGUUUGACAUAUAAAUUAUUUUUAUAUAUUAAAUAACAUAAUAUAAAAUUAUUAUAGAGUUUAAAUAUUUUAAUUAUAAAUAUUAUUAAGCAUAAGAGACAUUUUAUUUUUUAAAAUAAAAAAUAUUCAAAUGUGAUAUAAUUUUUAUUUUAAACAUUGAAAAUAUUAUAUAUUUCAUAUAAUUUUUUAUGAAUUUCAUAAAUUAAAUAUAAACAUAAUAUAACAUAACAUAUCUCAUUGGAUAUAUUAUUUUAAAAUAUUAUAUCUAUAAGAUAUAUAUUCUAAGGAUAUCAUAUUCAAAAGAUAUAAAUUUUAUAUUUAAUGGGAUAUGGUAUCUUAAGAUAUACAUAUCAUAUCCUAUUAACCAAACAUACCCUUAGUCCAUAUUUGGUUAAUCGGAUAUGACAUGAGAUAAGAUAAGAGAUGAGAUAUUGUAUCAUAUCUCAUGUUUGAUUGGUGAUGGAAUAUGACAAGUUAUUUCAUCACUUUUAUCUAAUUCUAUGUUCAACUAAACAUUGGAUAAGAUAAGUAGAGAUAUAUAUUAUCUUUUUUUUUUUGUAUCCCCUCUAUAUGAAAUAUGUUAAUCUCAUGUAAAGAUUUCUCAUCUUAUGUUUAACCAAACAUUGAAUAAGAUAUGUAGUGGAACAUAUUAUCCAUUUUUUUUUUGGAGAAUUAUCUUUUGGAGGUAGAUGGGUCCCCAAAUUAACAAAAGGUCCAUAUAACUCUUCAAAUUGAGUUGGAGGAUAUGAAAUAGUAACGGACAAAUAUACCCUUUAAGAACACAUAAAAUAUUUUAUAAAAUUAAGUUAAAUAAAUUUUUUUAAUAAUUUUUUUUCAAAAAUACUGAAUUAAAUAAAAGUAGUUUUUAAAAAUAUUAAAUCAAAUAAUUUUUUUUUCAAAAAUAUUAAAUUAAAUUAAAGUAUUUAAAAAAUUAUUAAAUUAAAUAUUUUUUUAAAUAUUAAAUUAAAUAAAUUUAUUUUUAAAAAACAUUAAAUUAAAUAAAUUUAUUUUUAAAAAAUAUUAAAUUAAAUAAAAGUAUUUUAAAAAAUAUUAAAUUACAUAAAAGUAUUUUUAAAAAAUAUUAAAUUAAAUAAAAAAUAUUAAAUUAAAUAAAAGUAUUUUUCAAAAAUAUUAAUUUUUUUUCUCAAAAUCAACAAAGGGCAUUUUUGGAAAUACUGAAGGAUGAUAUCCUUCAACUCAAUUUCAAUACUUUCAUUGGGUCUUGGGCUCAAUUUGAAGAGUUACAUGGACCUUUUGUUAAUUUGGGAGCCCAUCUACCCCCAAAACAUAAUUCUUCCUUUUUUUUUAUCCCCUCUACAUGAUAUAUAUUAAUCACAUGUUAAGAUAUCUCAACCUAUGUUUGACCAAACAUUGAAUAGGAUAUGUAGUGGAAUAUAUUAUCCAUUUUUAUUUUUUUAUUUUUUUUAUUUUAUCCCUUUUACAUGAGAUAUGUUAAUCUCAUGCUAGAAUAUGACAUACGCAUAUUUCAUGUAUCAUAAAUUUAUUUUAUUUUUAUCACUUUUUUAUCUUUUUAUAUACUCAUUUUGUAAAAUAAUUUUAUUAUUAUUAUAACUUAAAUUUAUGGUUAAAAAAGAAAAACAAAAAAAUAUUUAUAACAUAAUAUUAAUAUAUAAUAUAUAAAUUAUUUUUAUAUAUUGAAUAACAUAACAUAAAAUUUUUAUUUAUAAAGUUUAAAUAUUCUAAUCAUGAAUAUUGUUAAAUAUAAGAGAAUUUUUUUUUUAAAUAGAAAAUAUUAUAAUAUGAUAUAAUUUUUAUUUUAAACAUUAAAAAUAAUCUAUAUUCCAUAUUUUUUUUAUUCAUUUCAUUAAUUAAAUAUAAACAUAAUAUAACAUAACAUAUUCCAUUGGAUAUGCUACUUAGAAUAUCAUGUUCAUAUCAUAUCCUAUUGGAAGUCAUAUCCUAAAAUAUGCAUUUCCUAUUUAAUGAGAUAUAAUAUCCCAUGAUAUACAUAUUUUAUUCUAUGGGAUAUAAUAUCUCAGGAUAUACAUAUUUUAUUCUAUCUUAUCCCAUCAACCAAACGUAACCUUAGCGAAACUCAAUUACACCUAUAGAAAAUAUAGGGCCACGAACCUUACAAAAACCAAGCAGUUUGUUAGCUUCAUGCUAACUGUUGGGAACACACCCGUGGAUACGAAAAAGUAGGCACUGUUGAGUUGACAAAAAACCUAGAUGAACUUCAGAAAAGAUGCAUAUAUGUGACCAUGGGUGGGAAGCAGAAAUAUAACGAGGCAAAAUACAAGAAUACACAUUAAGGGAUAAGUUACCUAGUGUGCAUAUACCCAAAACAGAAGGCAGCAUCAACCCAUCCCUAUCAUUUAAAUAACCAAAAGAAUUCCAACCCCAAGAACUAGCAGUAGCAGUUCCAUGAUCAGCUCAAAAGCCACCAAAAGAUAGAACAGCAUGAAUAAUCAAAUGUAAUUCCAUGCUCAUUGGAUAUUUUUACAAUGGUCAACAGCAAGAUUUGAUGGGUCAUCGUCCUGUUUUCUGUAAUUCCAUAUGAAAACCAAGAAAAUAAGACUGCGGAAGAGAGAAAUGUGGAGGUAGUGAAUUAUACAGCGUCUAGUUUCCAUUUUUGCUAUACAAACAAUUUAACUUAUCAUCAACUGUAAGUUUCUAUACGUUAUCCUAGUUCCUACUCUAUACACAUAUAUAUGUGCAACUUUUAGAGUUCAUACAUACAAGCAGGGAAAUUGGCAAUGGGCUUUCUUCCAACAGAGUAUUAUUGAGUUCCAACAAUACUUUGAGACAGAUUUUUUUUUUUUUUUUUUUUUUUUUUAAUAGACACUUUGAGACAGAGAUUUCAAAUGCAAGCUAACUGAUAUGAGCAAUUCUUAUCAUUAGUGAUUGCAUCUCAUUUAAUUCUUGACACUGUCAAAUGGGCAAUGCUCAUGACAUCAAAGCACUAAUACUUCUUUCUAGUUAAGUUGACCAAACAAAUUCAAAUGCAUAAGUGCCCAAAAUAUAAGAAUCAGGUAAGUAUAUAAAUAGUAACCGAUACAAAGAGCAGUUCAUUUAUUUGUUGGAUUUUGCAUUCUCUUUACAAUCAUAUUUAUUUAUUUUUCCCCUUCCUUAUAAUUUGAAAUGAAAACUUAUAUGUAACUUUGUUUUGUGAUGUAAGCUACUUAUUGUGCACAUUUUUUAUGAGAAAAGGUUCAUCAGAAAAUUGUAAUCCUUGUUUAUGCACUUAUCAUAUAUUUGUAUUUUUCUUUAUACUAGUGUUUAACAAAACAGUUAAUUCAGACUGACCAGAUAAGGACUGGAUUGAUCCUUGAAGAACUCAUCUUUCCAACACAAGCAAGAAAUCAUACAAGCAUAGUGCAAACCUCAAGCAUAUGGAUUAAAUGGCAUUAAUAUAGCCAUAUGGACAAUUAAAACAUGGAAGCAAGUAAAACAUCUUGACUGCAUCAACAAGAAAUAUGUAGUGCUGGCAGCUCAGUUGGAAACUAGAUUUGGGUGGAAAACAAACCAACUAUGAAAAAGAGAUUGAGAAAGAAGAGAAAAUCAAUAAGGAGCUCUUGUUCUACAUCAUGUGUUUCUCCUGAAUUUGGCUCUUGACAAAGCCAAAGAGGAUAUUGAGAAGUCAUAACAGAGUACAGCAAUUGGAUCCAUGACUUCAUGAAGAGGCUCCAAUCAGGUGGUAGUGAAAAGUUGCCAACAUCAAGGAAAGAAAGUGAGGAUUCUCUAGAGCUGAAUUUCAUGACUAAGAAGACAAACUAACAUAAAACAUGAAAUCAUUGGCCUAGGUGUUAGGACCUUAGCUAAGUCAACAUGAUUGCAGGCACACUAAUUAACCCAGCUGAUAGGAUAUCACAGCUAUAGGAAGAAUAAAAAACAUGAGAAAUAAAAAGUGGAUGCAUCUGGAAACCAGAAAUAGAUAUACAUUUUGUGCACGGUAGAAGAACUAUUGUAGGGGAUAUAUUUUAAUAAAGUCUAACCAAGACCUUUCAAUGUUUCACAGAACAAUGGCACAAUAAAACUGAAAAACCAUAUUGAUCCUUGUAAUGCCACAGGUCACUGCAGCCUUUUUCUCUGUGCCUGUGUGGAGCUAAGGAGCAUAGCUAUGGUUAAAGUGUGCUAAGUUUUGGGGUUUCACAUCUUGAAGUGUUGAGUUUCUAACUUGGGGUCCAGGUACAAAAAUAAGAAGAUGACAUCAAAUAAUAAUUUAGGAAAGCAUGCCCUCAGCUAUACUGAUAUCAAGCAGGAAAAGGAAGAAAUGGUUGAAAGCAAGUUUCCAUAGAAAGAGAAAGGAAGAAUCAUAUAUGUAAACUCAACACAGAAGAGCUCUUAACAGUUGCCAACAAUACCUCAUUGAAUUUAAACUUUGUUAUCUUUCCAUAAAAACAAGAGCAAUAACAAAAAUCAUAUGGAAAUUAUAUAAAAGAAAACACCAGUACAAUAGGCAACACCCAGAUACUGAUUACAAAUGCUUCAGUCAGUGAAGCUUAAUAAAAGAAACAAAAACAUACCAGAUAUAACCCAAAAAAAAAAAAUCUUGGUCAAGUCUCAAGCAGUCAAUCAUAGCCAGCAACUUUGUACCUUAACUUCACAUUGUGACUUUCCUGUCAAAAGCCCCAAAAAUGUACCAUUUUCAUUUGAAAGAAGGACGCAAACGAUUCAAAUGAAAACCAAUUAGAAACUUCAUAAUGUAGGGGAAAAAAAGGCUCAAUUCAACAAAAUUCUUUCAUUUAACUAGUAGACUUUACCUGCUCAUGAACCUUGGCUGAAGUCUUCUCCACAAGGCGAGCCAAGCUGUCCAGCUUGGCUAGCAUCUUCUCGUACAAAUCCUCCAAUCCGGCUGUAUAAUUCGUGGCUUCAGAGCCCAUCAACCGACGUAGACUCCCAAUCUGGACACCCUCCGCGCAAGUAUCCAAUUCGCGCUGAGCCUGAGCCUUGGAGACUCGCGUCGCAUCGGUGUCGUCCUCCGCCAUUGGCGAACCCCUCAAAUCACAGGCCAACGAAGGGAAGGGAGAACUAGGGCUAAACGAACCGUAAUGGCCGCGGAAUGCGGGUCCAAUGUUGACGAUGUCGAUUGAUUUGGGCUCGAGAGUCUGAGAAGAGAGGCAGUACUGGUACGCUUUGUACUCAUGCGUGUGAAUGACUUGAUCCGACAAUGGCGAGGCGAAUAGGAGGAAGAGAGAAGGUCUGAAAUUGGAGAGGGAGUUUUCGAUUGGGAAAGAGAAUUGAGCUUUGGUGGAGAGACAGGCGGUGACGGAGGACUCCCGAAGGGAAGGGCGGAGGGGGGAUCGGCGGCGGCCGGAGAACCAACCAAUGAGGGAGCGAAGGGGGACGCGGUCGGCUAGGAGGCGGCGAAGGGCGAGAACGUUGACUUGGCCGGAGGAGUCGUAGAAACUGUCGAUGGUUCCGGAGCAGAGGAAUCCGGAGACGGUAGCGACGAAGGUGGAGGGAUCGGAGGAGGAGCCCAGCGGGUCGUCGUCGGAGAGGGAGGAGGGAGCGAUGUGGGAGACGUGGCCGAACAGGAGACCGUCCACGUCGCCAAGAGCGGUGGAGAAGCGUUGGAUCAUGGAGGCUAGGGUUGGCCCCGAUAUUUGUAUUUUCUGCAGUGGAAGGUCGUCCAUGUCACAACUGCGAUUGUGAGAACGCGAGAAGACAAGAGAGAGGAAACGGAGGCUGGAGCGAACCACAAAUUUUGAGCUAAAUUAGUAAAUUACCACUUCUUUUCUGAAAUUGUACUUGCUGCCAAAGCCGUCCCUUUUAUUGAACCUAAUUUUUGUUUUGCUACCCUAAAUUCGAGAACUAGAGACCUGUCACAUUUUAUUGUGUUACUACAUUUGUUCUGCAAUUGUGAUUUCCACCGCAUCAUGGGUGCUUCAGAUUAUCAUGCAAUGAGCCAAUGACACAAAUGAAGGAAAAUUCAAUAAUCUUCAUUAUAUAACCCAAGUAAAAGAAGCUACAGAAUUUCAUAACUGUUCAACAUGAACCCAGAAUUAUUACUUUCCAUGAUCAAAAAAGAAUACUUACGCCAGACAAAAACAUAUAGACUUGUAUUUACACACAGACAAUAAAGCAACUACCAAAAUUAAAUCCCAAGAAUUAAAGAAUGAAUUUCAACACUAUCCAACCAACCCAACCAUUUAUUCUUAUUCGUUUGUCAAGGGGGGGACUUUGGUUCCAUCAUCAACAGAAGUGGCUCCCAGCUCUGGCUUAAUCUCUUCCAGUUGCUGGAGAACUUGUUGAACGUCCGGGCGUGCAGCAGGCGAAGGGUCAACGCAGUGCAGACCUAAUUUCAAUGUGUUAAGCAACUCAUCACCUGUGGUUGAUGCAUCUCUCAUCAGCUCCAAGUCGAAUACUUCAUUUGUCCACUCCUCCUUUACGAUUGAUGCUACCCACUGGGGUAAAUCCACCCCUCCAUCCAUUUCCUCACCUGGAGACUUCCCUGUUAAGAGUUCCAAUAUGAUUACCCCAAGGCUGUAGACAUCACUCUUGGUAUUGGCCUUCUUUAUCUUUGAAAGCUCUGGUGCUCGGUAGCCUAGUGCUCCUGCAGUGGCAAAAACAUUGGUGUUGGCUGCAGUUGUCAUAAGCCUGGACAGGCCGUAGUCCGCAAUAUGAGCAUUGGUUUGCUCAUCAAGUAGUAUGUUGCUCGAAGUGAGAUGCCCAUGUGUUAUGUUCUCUUGAGCAUGGAGGUAGCAAAGGCCACGCGUGAUGCCCAUGGCUAUGUUCAUCCUUGUUGGCCAACUGAUCACGGUUUCAGGCCCACGAGCUGCAUAUAUAAAGAUGUACACACAUGUUGUUAGACUAAUCAGUCAGUUCAUAUGCGUUCAUGAGAAUCACGACUACUAAAUAAAGUGUCUUCUUAUUCAUGACUUCUUUCUUUGCAACUUUUUCCCUAAAUUCUAAAUGACUCACAAUUUGUGUAUAAAAUUUAAGAGUUGGGUUGAACCAACUUACCGUGAAGGAAGGAUGAAAGACUCCCUUUAGGCAUGUAAUCAAAGACAAGGAGCUUCUCUCCUUUGGGUCCCAUGUAAUAAGCUCUGAGAGCUAAGAGAUUUGGGUGUCUGAUCUUUCCGAGAGCAGCAACCUCAGUCUCAAACUCCUUAUGGCCUUUUGCAAUCUUCUCCCUUAACCUCUUAACUGCAACUUGGUUACCAUCUUCCAGUGUUGCCUUGUAUGAAGUCCCAUAAGUGCUCUUCCCCAUUAUCUCUGCUGUUGCGCACAGCAGAUCAUCGGCUGUGAACACAAAUGGCCCAUCAAAAUGGACUAGUUUUCCACCAGUUUCACCACCACCACCAGAUUCAGCUUCAGUCCCAACUGCUGGAACUGCCUUCUCGCCUCCCCCUGUGGCAGAGCCGCCUGCUGUUUUACCACCUUUUGCUUUUGUAGCAGCCUUUUUCCUCAUCAAACAACAAAGCAAAAUACAGCAUAGUAGAAGCAGAAUUACUAGUAGAGCGCCUGCUGCUAUGAGAAUUAUGUCCUUGGUACUUAGUCUGCGGCGGUGAUAUUGUUUUGGUGGAGGUGAAAGAAUUUGAGGUGGAGGAGGACAUGGGGUGGAAAUGCUGUACCCGCAUAGCUGUAGGUUCCCUACAAAAGAGCUUGAAUUGAACUUUUGGGAGAGGAGGGAUGGAACAGAACCGGAGAGAUUGUUGUAAGCAACACUGAAAUCGCUGAGAUUGGGAAGGUUGGCUAGUGAAUCCGGAAUUGCUCCAAUGAGUUGAUUUCCAGAUAAUUCAAUUUGCGUGAGGCCAGAGAUGUUCCCAAUAGUUGCAGGGAUUUGGCCUUCGAAUUGAUUAUUCUUCAGGUUGAAUACCGACAGAUUUUGCAACCUGUCCAUGGCUUCUGGGAUAUUGCCAUUGAGGCGAUUGCCCUCAAGAUUCAACAAAGCUAGAGAGGAGAGGUUGGAAAGGCUAGCAGGCAAGCUUCCAUGAAUGGAAUUGUUGGACAAAUCUAGCACUUGGAGCCUAGAGAGACUUCCUAAUUCAUCAGGUAUGAUCCCAUCAAUCUGGUUAUGACUCAGAGAAAUCCCUUCAAGCUUUCCCAAUUUACUCAGAGAAAUAGGAAUAUCUCCCGAGAUACGAUUUUGAUCAAGAGUCAAGGUCUGAAGUUGAUAAACAUUCUUCCCUGUUCCACCCCAAGUAUUUGGAAUGGAACCAGAGAGGUUGUUAUGUUGAAGGGCAAGGAAAAUAAGAGAGUGGGAUUGAGUGAGACUAACCGGGAUUGACCCAAAGAAUGAGUUGAAGCUCAGAUUGAGUCUGUAUAAUUUGGUGGAGUUCGCCAGACUAGGCGGAAUAGUCCCAGUGAGCAGAUUGUUACUGACAUCAAGGGUCUGAAGAAGAAGGCAGUAGCCAAUAGAAGGCGGGACUGAACCUGAAAGCCUGUUAUUGAAGAGAUAAACACCUCUAAGGUUGGGAAGGAACCCGAGCGACGUAGGGACAGGGCCAACAAGAAGAUUGUCAUGGAGACUAAUCCUCCGGAGUGCUUGCAGCUGACCUAUCUUCUCAGAGAUUCGGCCCCCCAAUCCCUUCCAUGGAAGUUGAAUGGCAAUAACCUGUCCCCGAGCACACUUGAUUCCUAUCCACCCACCAGAACAAGCUUCCAAACCGCUGUCAUUCCAGGUACUCAAAACGCCUUUCAAAUCAACGAAUUCAUGUUUUAAGGCUUUGAGUGCCUGAUAAUCUGCUUGAGUCACCACCACCCCAUCCCAUGGAUGGCCCGAAACAAGUGGAAAGGUGAGAAGCAGCACCUGAACCAACAAGAACAGGUGGUUGAAGAGGAAGGACUUGAAUUUGUCACGCGGAUGGCUCUUCCAUUUCUUUUUCUUAUUAUCGGAAAUCAGGCACAAAUCACCCAUCUCUUCCACCAUAAACUGAAAGGGAUCUCCCAUUAACCCCAAAACAAGUAUAGAAAUAGAAUUAGGGAAGAGCAGAGUUGGAAGUCUCUCUUCUCCCCCUUUCCUUAAAGUGGUGUGUGUGAUGCUAUCUCCAGAUUUGGGAAAGAGAGUUUAUUGAAGAAGAAAGAAGAACUAAACGGUAAAUAAGGAGGAGAGAAAGGGAUGGGUGGGAGCUCUGAUACAGCAUGUGAGGGAAGUGAGUGAGUGAGCAGAGGGAAUCUUGUUAAGGCAGGAGGAUGGAUGGGGAAACUUCAUUUUAGUUGAUCCUAACGGCUAGUUUUAUGUAGGGUUGGUUGUAACUAAGGUCUUUCUGUUCGUUGGAGACUUAAUGCAACGGCUAUAUUUCGUGGGGCACCCACAUGCCCUAAAUUACAAAAUUGACUAAAAGUCUCUGGUUGCCGUUGGAAAGUUGACCAGGACACUAACGGCCUCCGCCCCAUCAAAUCAAUUUACUACCACAGCUAGAGAUUUACCUCGUAUCCAGAGUGGAUAAUUACCGCAGGCAAGUUGCUUGUCCCCGCUUUAGAGACCUUGAACUGUAUUUACUCAAAAUAUUGUGAUCAACCGUUGCUUACGUACGGCCAUUAAUCAGAAGAGGGAUGGGAUGGAGGAAGUUAUUUUUUAUGUGUCCUUGCCUCAGUUAUUUUUAAUGGUAUAAAAAAAGUUAUUUUUUGGCAUUAUAUUAAGAAGCGUUAAUGAAUCAAAUAUGGUACAAGGAGUUACCCAUAACAUUUUCAUAAUUUUCAGCAUAUGAAUUGUCAUCUUAGGAAGUUACAUAUGAAGACAGCGUUUGAUGAACUUUUUUAAUAUCGUCAGUCAAAAUGAUAUGGGCAGUGGCAUGAGCGUACGGUAUGAGAGACCAUGAUGAAUGCGUGUAAACAUAUGUUACUAAAAUAAACAUCCUUAAUUAUUAUUAAUUUUGGUCAAGCGUGCCGUGAGAGCUGGAAUUUCUCAAAACAUCAUCAUUUUAAACUCUUCAAGUAAAAAUCAAUUUGCAUUUACUUUCACUUUUUCUUGUACAGUUUUAUCAGUUUUAACUUUUAAGUCAUUAAGAACCAUGUUACACUCAACCCAAGUUCACUCUUCUUUUGAUUGCACCUAACGACGGUUUAAUUCGGGUCCUUGGACCCAGGUCUGCCCUGGGCCUGACCCAAACCCACCUCAAUAUGUUAUUAAGUGAUGGUAUAUCUGUGCUUCUAAAUCAGACGUUGCAUUUGUUUUAUACACAAAAAAUAAUUUUUUUUUUUUUUCAAAAUUGAAGUUGAAUUGAAGCCUCAGUUGUCAACGGAGGUUUCAUUUUUUAAUUGAAGUCUCAGUUGUUAAUUGAGGCUUCAUUUUUUAACUAAAACCUUAAUUGACAAUUGAGGUUUGAGUUGAUUUUUUUUAUUUUAAAAUUUAAUUAAAAAUAUUAAAUUAUAAAUUAUUAUUAAAAUUAAAAAUAUAUUUUAAUAAUUAAAAUUUAUAUAUUUAAACUUAAAUAUAUAAUAUUACUUCAAUAAAGAUAAAUUGAUAUAUAUAAUAAUAAAUAAAUAUUUUAUUUAUCAAUAAAUUAAUAAUCUUAAAAUAAUAAAAUUAUAUGAACUCUAAAAUAUAAAAUUAUAUAAUUUAUUAAUUUAAGAUAUUUAAUUUAUUUUAUUUUUAAGAUAUUAAUUAAUUUAUAUUUUCACAUAUUUAUCUUUAUUAAAAUAAUAAUAUAUUCUUAAGCUUAGAUUUUUUAUUAUUAUUUUAAAGCAUACAUUUAUAGUUGAAAUUGACUCAUGUUGGACUCGCCUACAAGAAGAGAGCCUAGUAACAACCAAUUCUGACAUCUCUGGUGAGGUCUUGUCUUGAUCAUAACAAUCUCGAGUCUACUCACAAUUGAGAAUAUCCCUUGACAAUGGGAUAGGUCAACGUAUGAUGUUCUACCGUUUUAGUUUUGAGGCGGUGGAUCCUAUUGAAUCAAUUACAACGAGAAAAACUAUGGUGGUCCUUGACUAUCCAUUGUGCUUCGCAGGUCUCAAAGUGUACAAAACAAAUAGGACAAGGAUUACAAUUGGUUUUGAGCCAACUGUAGCCAAAUUCAUCCGAUUUAAUGGAAGUUAUACAACUUUUCUCUUUUCUUUGUGCUUAUCAGAGAAUUCACCCAACAGUAAUGGUCUGGAUGAACUCAUUUCCUACACAAAAGGAUGUUCAAACGGGUGAUUUGGGUACACAUCUUCAAAGCCUAAGUCAAACAAGGAUAGAUCAAGUUGCUUUGUGAGAGAGAAUAGAUAGGCAUAUGUGUGUACACGUACCUCAUGUGUGCUUCGUUAGACGGUUUUUAUAAUGCUAAAGAGAGUGUCAUUGUAGUGCUGACUAGACACUUUGACUCUUAUUGUAAUGAUGAUUGUCUUACAGGCGGUUGGGUAAUCAUCACAGUUUUGGGUGUCUGGCAAGUGUCAUCAGCUGACGUGUCAUGACUUAAAACUUAAAACUAUGCUACCGCUUAUCCCUUCAGUCUGUUGAUAGUCUAGGGUUAUAUACAAGAAUUAAUUGACAUGGAUUUGAGGGCUAGAAGAAGUCCCAUCAAGCGUUCAUAUGUCAAGUGUAAAUGACCACACAAGUCAAUGGGUCUUGAAGGCUUGAUUGGACGAUCCUAUCUAUUUGGGGAGUCCGAUUUCUCCUUAUCGUCUGGUCCUGUAGGGGAAAAGGGCCUCAUUUUGCCUGGUGUUAGAUAGAACUAGUAGUGAUCCAAACAGAAUGAUCCAGAUGGGUUGCAUGCACGUGCUAGAUGGUCAAGGUGUCCGGGUUGGAAAAAGGACACGUGGAAGAGAGUCCCCCACAAUCACCACUUGGAUAUGUUGAUCAAGUUAUUGACUAACCCAAGCAUAAUCCAAAUUAAGAAACAAUCAACUCAAGUUCAAUCCCAUUUCAUUUUUUUUAAACUCAAAUUGAUCAAAUUCAUAUUAAACUUGGUUUGGUUGGAUUGCAGGAUUCAAAAUUAAUAUCCAAUGCUUAUAAAAAUAUUUUUCUAUAUAAAUAUAUCAAAAUUCAAAUAAUAAUAAGACAAAGUUUUAAGAUAGUAACAAAAUAAAUAAAUAAUUCAUAUUAUUGUAUAUAAAAUAUUAUAAAUAUUAUAAAAACGUUAAUUUAAGGUUGGGUUAGUCUUGAAUUGUUUUUAUGUGAAAAAAUCUAACCUAACCUCAAUAUAAAUAUUAAAAAUGAUUGUUAAAAUUCACUUAAACAUAUGAUUGAAUUAGGUCAACUCACCCAAAUUGCACUCCUAGAAGACCCUUUGGUUGGACAAUUCCUUAUACUUUCAUAAUAGAGAGGUGGGAGGUGGGAAGUGUUUUCGGUAACUUCAUAGGAGCUUUGAUCAAAAGUGCCUGCCCAGAUUCGGAUCCACCUGGGUGGCCCUGGUGACCGGCUCCUCAAUUCUUGCUUCUCCCUUGCACCCCAUUCCGGUCCUCAUCCCCAUGAAACAGGACUUGAAAAUUUUGGAAAUUGGAUAUGAAUAAUGGAAUCAUAUUUUCAAACAUAUUACAUCCCAAAAAUAGAGAUAUGAUUAUCCCCUACUACACCGUGGGAUAAAACUUUUCCAAAAAGGUUUGCUAGCAAGUAAAAAAUAUGAUUUACGGAUCCAUUGGGCUCAAUGCCGGCUCCAAAAUUGCUCCGAGUGCUUCCCCAUUUAAAGCUUGGGUAACACAUUCAAACACUUUACUGCUGAACCGGCCCGCCCAGAAAGAAAAACCUCAUAACAAAUCCAAGAAACACUUCUUGAAUGGUGAUGGAGAAAAGCACAUUCCAUAUUACAGUUUUAAACCUCCCUCCCACCAACAUUAAGGAAUCGAGAGGCUCAAUUAUUCGACAGUGCAUACAAAUCUUAUACCUACAAAUACCUCAAUCAUAUACCUACAAAUCCCUUCCACUCUCUAUGGGAAUCCAAACCCUUGGGGUACUGUUUGUGGCCACCACAAUCAACACCUUGUAAUCCAAGCCAUGCAGCCAGCAACAUGAAUCAAACCCAAGAGCUUGUGCGUCUACCACACAUCGAGGCAUUCACCCAAACCAACUGGACACCCAUACUUUGCCUUAUUCCAUUACAUCUAUCAUUGAUUGCUAACAAACAGAUCAAAACAAAAUGCUUAACCCAAGGGCAAUGGAAACGCGCAUUUUAUAACUCCUAUAGACUUUGCAGCAAUCACCCUAACUACAUGCCAAUAUUUUUCUCCUCAAUUAAAAACACCAUCAUUUAGCAACACUUAAAUUUAAUUCAUCAACUAAUCUUACUGUCUGUUCAUAUAUAAUUCUCGCUUUUCCUUGACUGGUAUGUCUUUCUUAUACAAAUUACAUUCAAUGAGCAAAUCUCCUCGUCAGUCAUCUGAUUCUAAUCCUAUGAACAGCUUGCUCUUCAACGUAUCUGUCAAGAGAGCAAAAAUGAUCACUAUAACAAUCGACAUGAGUAUCCUGAAAGAUCCCUUAACAGCACAUGACCCUGGAUGAUAUUGCAAAUUACUUGCAACCAGCAGAAAAGGAAGCCAAUUUGUUGUGUCAUCAAAAUCAAAACAGGUAUAUCAUUGAAGCAGGCGCAUCAAUAAAUUGGGCAUAUGUAAAAGAAAAUAAAUGAUAAAUUAGGCCAUUUUCAUUUUGUAGCCUCAAUGGAAACGAUAGGACUUUUGUGUUGAAUGCAGAUCUGAGAUAAAACCCUAGCAAAACCAUUCUACGGAAUACAAAUCUCUAAAAGAUAGAAGAAAAUAUGCAUUCCCCAGAGAAUCGAAGUAAAAUUAGAUCUCCACAAAUGAAUGGAAGAACAAAUUAACAAAUAUAAUCAAUCAUAAAGAAAAUUACAGGGUAAGUACGAUGGGCCUGAAAGAUCCAUCACCAGAUGUUCAAAAGGAGAAUAUAUCCGUACAUUUUCGCAUCAAGAUCCAACCUAUAUAUAUUUUUAUGACGAAAAUUUCGAUUAUUCAAUUUUUUUUUCUACCGAACAAUAAAAUUUGAUCGAAAGUUAAACAAGCAAUCACAAAAUUACCCCUAACAAUCGCCGUCGGGAUGGAUGGUUGUAACCCUCAAACGCGUCCGGCGACCACAGGAGCGACAUUGGAGGGGGUAGCGCCUAGAAAUGACAAGAAUCCAGUAGCGGCGGGAUCUUGCUCGUCGAGGAAGAGAUCGUCGGGAACUCUAAAUGCGCCGUGAGCGCAAACGAUGGCCGCACCGACCAUGAGAGCGGAGAUGAGAACGGAUCCGACGCUGGUGAGGAAAAUGACGACGACGCUGAGGACAACGAGGAUGCCAAGGGUCUCGCGGUCGGAGAAAGUGCGGCCGAAGAGGACGAGAGGAGGAUCGGAGGGGCGGAAGAGGUAGAGGAAGAGCCAGGCGGCGAGGAGAGAAAGGAGGAGGAGGAGAGAGAAAGGGUUGGUGAGGAGAGAGAAGGCAAGGGUAAGGGCGAUGAGGGAGAGGUAGUUGACGCGGAAGUAGGUGUAGUUCUUGCGUACGCGAAGGGCGGCCUCGGAGAAGGACUCGGGGCGGGAGAAAGCGUUGCGGUCGACGAGCUCGGACCAGGGGCGGCGCUGAGCGAAGCCGUUGCGGACGGAAUCGGUGAUGUGGGUGAUAAAUAAGCGGACAGCGGGUGUGGCGACCGGAG